CCUUUACAUACUUCCAAAAGUAAGUAAGCCUUUAACAGCACUACAUAGAAGUGUGUUGAAGCUCAUGGAAGAAGAGAGGUCUCUCAGAGACCUAAAAGCUAUAAAAGGAGGGAGUAUUUGCACUGUCACCAGGAGAAGGAGCCAGUCCCACUGAGGAUCUGAGGAGCUGAGAUAACAUAGCUGAGGUUCGGACUGAGUAAGUGACCCAAGUCUAAGUGGUGGCAAGAAAAACAUGAGCACCUAGUCUCAAGGAAUAACAAUCUUGACAACAAGGCCCUCAGAAGAUUGGAUGAUGCCCACUGAUACUGGUGAGAAUGGUCUCCUUUACUCAGUCUACUGAUCCACAAUCUCUUCUGAAGACAUCCUCACAGACACACCCAGAAAUAAUGUUGCAUCAGCUAUCUCGGCAUCCCUUAGUCCAGCCCACAUAAAAUUAACCAUUACACAAUUCGACCAAAGACAAAACCCAAUUAAAAAAUGG